UCCAGCGCACUCACCUAUCCACUAAACAGCAACUUCAAUGUUGAAAGAUUUUAUUUGGUUUUUUUUUAAACACCUAAUCUAGGCAAAAAUAGGUGUUAGGUGUUUAAAAAAAAAACAAAUAAAAUCUUUCAACAUUGAAGUUGCUGUUUAGUGGAUAGGUGAGUGCGCUGGA